GGCUCGGUAGCUUAGUUGGUAAAGCACCUAGCGAAUAAGGGUCGUGAGUUCAAAUCUCACCUGAGCUG
rnacentral:tRNA from 1 species